rnacentral:rRNA from 1 species
AACGUAGGAGACGAACGUUAUCCGGAAUUAUUGGGCGUAAAGGGCGCGUAGGCGACCCUGCAAGUCAAAGGUGAAAUCCCUCGGCUCAACUGAGGAACUGCCUUUGAAACUGUGGGGCUUGAGGCCGGGAGGGGGUAGCGGAAUUCCCAGUGUAGCGGUGAAAUGCGUAGAUAUCAGGAGGAACACCGAUGGCGAAGGCAGGUCUCUGGGCCACUACUGACGCUGAGAAGCGAAAGCAUGGGGAGCGAACAGG